AGUCUAUCGCUGCGGUUGCGAGCGCUGUGGGGACCCUGUGCCGUGCCGCGCAGUUAGGCAGCAGCAGUGGAGCAGUAGCCGCCUUGGGAGGGAGCCAUGAAGCACUACGAGGUGGAGAUUCUGGAUGCAAAGACAAGGGAGAAGCUGUGUUUCUUGGACAAGUACCUCCCCAUCCUGAGUCUGGGCUCCUCGCAGAGCUGACGUCCCUGCGCCUGUGCUUCCCCCAGGUGGAGCCCCACGCCACCAUUGCGGAGAUCAAGAACCUCUUCACCAAGACCCGUGAGUCCUAGGCCCGGCCACAUUGCCCCUGCAACCCCUUUGACCAGGGACCUUAGGGUGGGAGGGAUCCCAUCCUGCACCCCUCUCCCAGGGGCCUGCAGAGAUGCCCCAGUGUGGCCCAGGCUUCUGGGGCGUGACUGGGGCAGGCGCCCCCACGUGGCACUCCGCAGGAACGCCCUUGCUAGGCUCUGGGAAGGACAAGAUCCUGCUUCUGCCCGCGCUCUUCUGGCCUGUGUCCUGAAACUGCACAAGCCUGAGGCUUUGCCCCU
rnacentral:sRNA from 1 species